rnacentral:ncRNA from 16 species
AAAGUUUCGGGUGUCCCUCUCCUCCUCCCUGGGACAUUCGGAAAUGGCGGCGGCAUCUCUCCUCCUCCCUGAUGCCGUCGCCCAAAACUUCGGACCUUUAGGUCCAAACA